rnacentral:rRNA from 1 species
UACGUAGGGGGCAAGCGUUGUCCGGAAUCAUUGGGCGUAAAGCGCGUGUAGGCGGUUCGAUAAGUCUGCUGUGAAAGUCCAGGGCUCAACCCUGGGAUGCCGGUGGAUACUGUCGGGCUAGAGUACGGAAGAGGCGAGUGGAAUUCCCGGUGUAGCGGUGAAAUGCGCAGAUAUCGGGAGGAACACCAAUUGCGAAGGCAGCUCGCUGGGACGUUACUGACGCUGAGACGCGAAAGCGUGGGGAGCAAUCAGG